GUUGACCUCGAAUCAGGUAGGACUACCCGCUGAACUUAAGCAUAUCAAUAAGCGGAGGAAAAGAAACCAACAGGGAUUGCCCCAGUAACGGCGAGUGAAGCGGCAACAGCUCAAAUUUGAAAUCUGGCUCUCAGGGCCCGAGUUGUAAUUUGUAGAGGAUGCUUUUGGCGAGGUGCCUUCCGAGUUCCCUGGAACGGGACGCCACAGAGGGUGAGAGCCCCGUAUGGUCGGACACCGAGCCUCUGUAAAGCUCCUUCGACGAGUCGAGUAGUUUGGGAAUGCUGCUCAAAAUGGGAGGUAUAUGUCUUCUAAAGCUAAAUAUUGGCCAGAGACCGAUAGCGCACAAGUAGAGUGAUCGAAAGAUGAAAAGCACUUUGAAAAGAGGGUUAAAAAGUACGUGAAAUUGUUGAAAGGGAAGCGCCUAUGACCAGACUUGCGCCCGGUGAAUCACCCAGCGUUCUCGCUGGUGCACUUUGCCGGGCACAGGCCAGCAUCAGUUCAGCGCGGGGGAGAAAGGCUUCGGGAAUGUGGCUCCCUCGGGAGUGUUAUAGCCCGCUGCGUAAUGCCCUGCGCCGGACUGAGGUACGCGCAUUGCAAGGAUGCUGGCGUAAUGGUCAUCAGCGACCCGUCUUGAAACACGGACCAAGGAGUCGUCUUCGUAUGCGAGUGUUCGGGUGUCAAACCCCUACGCGUAAUGAAAGUGAACGCAGGUGAGAGCUUCGGCGCAUCACCGACCGAUCCUGAUGUUCUCGGAUGGAUUUGAGUAAGAGCAUACGGGGCCGGACCCGAAAGAAGGUGAACUAUGCCUGUAUAGGGUGAAGCCAGAGGAAACUCUGGUGGAGGCUCGCAGCGGUUCUGACGUGCGAAUCGAUCGUCAAAUAUGGGCAUGGGGGCGAAAGACUAAUCGAACCUUCUAGUAGCUGGUUUCCGCCGAAGUUUCCCUCAGGAUAGCAGUGUUGAA
rnacentral:rRNA from 1 species